rnacentral:rRNA from 1 species
GUGAGGUAACGGCUCACCAAGGCCACGAUGCAUAGCCGACCUGAGAGGGUGAUCGGCCACACUGGGACUGAGACACGGCCCAGACUCCUACGGGAGGCAGCAGUAGGGAAUCUUCGGCAAUGGACGAAAGUCUGACCGAGCAACGCCGCGUGAGUGAAGAAGGUUUUCGGAUCGUAAAACUCUGUUGUUAGAGAAGAACAAGGACGUUAGUAACUGAACGUCCCCUGACGGUAUCUAACCAGAAAGCCACGGCUAACUACGUGCCAGCAGCCGCGGUAAUACGUAGGUGGCAAGCGUUGUCCGGAUUUAUUGGGCGUAAAGCGAGCGCAGGCGGUUUCUUAAGUCUGAUGUGAAAGCCCCCGGCUCAACCGGGGAGGGUCAUUGGAAACUGGGAGACUUGAGUGCAGAAGAGGAGAGUGGAAUUCCAUGUGUAGCGGUGAAAUGCGUAGAUAUAUGGAGGAACACCAGUGGCGAAGGCGGCUCUCUGGUCUGUAACUGACGCUGAGGCUCGAAAGCGUGGGGAGCAAACA